AUAUAAAUGAGAUAUGAAUGGGUUCCUAAUCCGUAGGCCAGGCGUUCGAAUCGCCUCGGGGGCACCA
rnacentral:tRNA from 1 species